rnacentral:rRNA from 1 species
UACGUAGGGUGCAAGCGUUAAUCGGAAUUACUGGGCGUAAAGCGUGCGCAGGCGGUGAUGUAAGACAGAUGUGAAAUCCCCGGGCUCAACCUGGGAACUGCAUUUGUGACUGCAUCGCUGGAGUGCGGCAGAGGGGGAUGGAAUUCCGCGUGUAGCAGUGGAAUGCGUAGAUAUGCGGAGGAACACCGAUGGCGAAGGCAAUCCCCUGGGCCUGCACUGACGCUCAUGCACGAAAGCGUGGGGAGCAAACAGG